UACGUAGGUGGCAAGCGUUGUCCGGAUUUACUGGGCGUAAAGAGCGCGCAGGCGGUCGUUCAAGUCGCGUGUGAAAGCCCCCGGCUCAACUGGGGAGGGUCACGCGAUACUGAUCGACUCGAAGGCAGGAGAGGGUAGUGGAAUUCCCGGUGUAGUGGUGAAAUGCGUAGAUAUCGGGAGGAACACCGGUGGCGAAGGCGGCUACCUGGACAGAAACUGACGCUGAGGCGCGAAAGCUAGGGGAGCAAACAGG
rnacentral:rRNA from 1 species